rnacentral:rRNA from 1 species
GUACACAAAAAUGCACAUAUUGUGAGCUCGAUGAGUAGGGCGGGACACGUGGUAUCCUGUCUGAAUAUGGGGGGACCAUCCUCCAAGGCUAAAUACUCCUGACUGACCGAUAGUGAACCAGUACCGUGAGGGAAAGGCGAAAAGAACCCCGGCGAGGGGAGUGAAAAAGAACCUGAAACCGUGUACGUACAAGCAGUGGGAGCCUCUUAAUGGGGUGACUGCGUACCUUUUGUAUAAUGGGUCAGCGACUUAUAUUCUGUAGCAAGGUUAACCGAAUAGGGGAGCCGAAGGGAAACCGAGUCUUAACUGGGCGUUAAGUUGCAGGGUAUAGACCCGAAACCCGGUGAUCUAGCCAUGGGCAGGUUGAAGGUUGGGUAACACUAACUGGAGGACCGAACCGACUAAUGUUGAAAAAUUAGCGGAUGACUUGUGGCUGGGGGUGAAAGGCCAAUCAAACCGGGAGAUAGCUGGUUCUCCCCGAAAGCUAUUUAGGUAGCGCCUCGUGAAUUCAUCUCCGGGGGUAGAGCACUGUUUCGGCAAGGGGGUCAUCCCGACUUACCAACCCGAUGCAAACUGCGAAUACCGGAGAAUGUUAUCACGGGAGACACACGGCGGGUGCUAACGUCCGUCGUGAAGAGGGAAACAACCCAGACCGCCAGCUAAGGUCCCAAAGUCAUGGUUAAGUGGGAAACGAUGUGGGAAGGCCCAGACAGCCAGGAUGUUGGCUUAGAAGCAGCCAUCAUUUAAAGAAAGCGUAAUAGCUCACUGGUCGAGUCGGCCUGCGCGGAAGAUGUAACGGGGCUAAACCAUGCACCGAAGCUGCGGCAGCGACACUAUGUGUUGUUGGGUAGGGGAGCGUUCUGUAAGCCUGUGAAGGUGUACUGUGAGGUAUGCUGGAGGUAUCAGAAGUGCGAAUGCUGACAUAAGUAACGAUAAAGCGGGUGAAAAGCCCGCUCGCCGGAAGACCAAGGGUUCCUGUCCAACGUUAAUCGGGGCAGGGUGAGUCGACCCCUAAGGCGAGGCCGAAAGGCGUAGUCGAUGGGAAACAGGUUAAUAUUCCUGUACUUGGUGUUACUGCGAAGGGGGGACGGAGAAGGCUAUGUUGGCCGGGCGACGGUUGUCCCGGUUUAAGCGUGUAGGCUGGUUUUCCAGGCAAAUCCGGAAAACCAAGGCUGAGGCGUGAUGACGAGGCACUACGGUGCUGAAGCAACAAAUGCCCUGCUUCCAGGAAAAGCCUCUAAGCAUCAGGUAACAUCAAAUCGUACCCCAAACCGACACAGGUGGUCAGGUAGAGAAUACCAAGGCGCUUGAGAGAACUCGGGUGAAGGAACUAGGCAAAAUGGUGCCGUAACUUCGGGAGAAGGCACGCUGAUAUGUAGGUGAAGCGACUUGCUCGUGGAGCUGAAAUCAGUCGAAGAUACCAGCUGGCUGCAACUGUUUAUUAAAAACACAGCACUGUGCAAACACGAAAGUGGACGUAUACGGUGUGACGCCUGCCCGGUGCCGGAAGGUUAAUUGAUGGGGUUAGCGGUAACGCGAAGCUCUUGAUCGAAGCCCCGGUAAACGGCGGCCGUAACUAUAACGGUCCUAAGGUAGCGAAAUUCCUUGUCGGGUAAGUUCCGACCUGCACGAAUGGCGUAAUGAUGGCCAGGCUGUCUCCACCCGAGACUCAGUGAAAUUGAACUCGCUGUGAAGAUGCAGUGUACCCGCGGCAAGACGGAAAGACCCCGUGAACCUUUACUAUAGCUUGACACUGAACAUUGAGCCUUGAUGUGUAGGAUAGGUGGGAGGCUUUGAAGUGUGGACGCCAGUCUGCAUGGAGCCGACCUUGAAAUACCACCCUUUAAUGUUUGAUGUUCUAACGUGGGCCCCUUACCGGGGUUGCGGACAGUGUCUGGUGGGUAGUUUGACUGGGGCGGUCUCCUCCUAAAGAGUAACGGAGGAGCACGAAGGUUGGCUAAUCCUGGUCGGACAUCAGGAGGUUAGUGCAAUGGCAUAAGCCAGCUUGACUGCGAGCGUGACGGCGCGAGCAGGUGCGAAAGCAGGUCAUAGUGAUCCGGUGGUUCUGAAUGGAAGGGCCAUCGCUCAACGGAUAAAAGGUACUCCGGGGAUAACAGGCUGAUACCGCCCAAGAGUUCAUAUCGACGGCGGUGUUUGGCACCUCGAUGUCGGCUCAUCACAUCCUGGGGCUGAAGUAGGUCCCAAGGGUAUGGCUGUUCGCCAUUUAAAGUGGUACGCGAGCUGGGUUUAGAACGUCGUGAGACAGUUCGGUCCCUAUCUGCCGUGGGCGCUGGAGAACUGAGGGGGGCUGCUCCUAGUACGAGAGGACCGGAGUGGACGCAUCACUGGUGUUCGGGUUGUCAUGCCAAUGGCACUGCCCGGUAGCUAAAUGCGGAAGAGAUAAGUGCUGAAAGCAUCUAAGCACGAAACUUGCCCCGAGAUGAGUUCUCCCUGAGACUUAGAGUCUCCUGAAGGAACGUUGAAGACGACGACGUUGAUAGGCCGGGUGUGUAAGCGCAGCGAUGCGUUGAGCUAACCGGUACUAAUGAACCGUGAGGCUUAACCUU